CAUCAGACCUCUAAUCGGAAAAGACUACCCGCUGAGUUUAAGCAUAUCAAUA
rnacentral:rRNA from 3 species